GACAGAGGGUGCAAACGUUGCUCGGAAUCACUGGGCGUAAAGGGCGUGUAGGCGGGAAGGAAAGUCAGAUGUGAAAGCCCUGGGCUCAACCCAGGAACUGCAUUUGAAACUCCCUUUCUUGAGUGUCGGAGAGGAAAGCGGAAUUCCUGGUGUAGAGGUGAAAUUCGUAGAUAUCAGGAGGAACACCGGUGGCGAAGGCGGCUUUCUGGACGACAACUGACGCUGAGACGCGAAAGCCAGGGGAGCAAACGGG
rnacentral:rRNA from 1 species